CUGUCUGUCCCUGUCCUGGGGGGUCCCUGCCGUGAGCCCCAGCCCCGGGGGGGCUGAGCCCCCCAAACCUCCCCCAGACCCUCUGAAGGGCCCCACCCCCAACUCCCAGCGGCGAUUCCCUCCCCACCGCAGACACAACACCGGGGAAUUGUCCGGGAUGCUUUAUUGGAGGGAGGGGACAGCCCGCGGUCACUUCUUGGCCUCCUCCUCCUUGGAGAGGGUUUUGAUGAUCUCCUCCUUCUUGGCCUGCAGCCGCUCCUCCCGGCGCUUCCGCGCCUCCUUGGUCUUGGAGCGCCGCGCCUCCGCCUGGUCCCUGCGGGGCCGGGGCCGUGAGGAGGGCCCGGGGCAGCCGCGGCCCGCCCCGAGCUCUGCCCCGAGCUCUGCCCCGGCCCGCCCCGAGCUCUGCCCCGGCCCGCCCCGAGCUCUGCCCCGACCGGCCCCGAGCUCUGCCCCGGCCCGCCCCGAGCUCUGCCCCGAGCUCUGCCCCGGGCCGCCCCGAGCUCUGCCCCGGGCCCGGGGCACGGCUGAGCCACCCCAGCCCUGGGAUUUCCCAGUCCCCACCUCACUCAGGGAUUUCCGGGAUUUCCCAGUUCCCACCUCACUCAGGGAUUUCCCAUUUCCCACCUCACUCAGGGAUUUCUGGGAUUUCCCAGUUCCCACCUCACUCAGGGAUUUCUGGGAUUUCUCAUCUCCCACCUCAGUCAGGGAUUUCCGGGCUUUCCCAUCUCCCACCUCAGUCAGGGAUUUCUGGGAUUUCCCAUUUCCCAUUUCCCAGUUCCCACCUCAGUCAGGGAUUUCCCAGCCCCACCUCAGUGGGGAUUUCUGGGAUUUGGGAUCUCCCACCUCACUCAGGGAUUUCCCAUUUCCCAUUUCCCACCUCACUCAGGGAUUUCCCAUUUCCAAUUUCCCACCUCACUCAGGGAUUUCCCAGUCCCCACCUCACUCAGGGAUUUCCCAUCUCCCACCUUACUCAGGGAUUUCCCAUUUCCCAUCUCCCACCUCACUCAGGGAUUUCCCAUUUCCCACCUCACUCAGGGAUUUCCCGGCCCCACCUCAGUGGGGAUUUCUGGGAUUUGGGAUCUCCCAGCUCCCAGCAGGUUUCCCUGGUGCAGAGCCCCCCUGCAGCAGCACUUACGCC
rnacentral:lncRNA from 1 species